UGCUGGAUCAUUACCUUGUCGGCUAAUGACAAAUGUCGAGGGUGCCGUGGUGGCCAUCGGUGGCCUGCUGUCCGUUGUCCGCAUCGGGCGCGGCUGUGGGACGCUGUACGGCCGGUCCACGAUAUCGCCCUGUUCGAGCAAGUAUGUGGAGCGCCCAGCCAGGGCAUAACGGUGAGCAGCUUUUGCUCGCUACCAGCUCUCACCAGACACCAAGCACACAUACGAAGCAACGGCUUCGCUGGAUCCUAAGCAAUGCUGAGCAGCUGUGCCGCAAAGUCCGUGGUUGCGUUUUAAGACAUUGUGGUAGACCCCCCGAGAGAUACCUCGGGGAGUAGGAUUAAUGAGUACCGUGAUACUGGUGCCGCCAGCAAAACUCUUUUCCAAUACCAUUUUAAACAAACAAAAACUAUAUUAGUCUUGCCGGUGGAUCACUCGGCUCGUAGGUCGAUGAAGAUCGCAUCCAAAUGCGAUAGUUAGUGUGAACUGCAGAUAUUCUGAGCACUAAAACGUCGAAUGCACAUUGCGCCUUGGGAUUUCCAUCCCUCGGCACGCCUGGUUCAGGGUCGUUUCUCACAACAAGAAGCUGCCUCGCUUCUAGCACGACUCAGCACUGGCGGCCAAGCCGUAUGGCAGCCGGAGCUGAGCCAGCAUUGUUCUGCAUGGUGCGUGGGCCCAUCGAGACAGCACGGCCGGUCUUGUAUGCCUAUGGCUGACCGUUUGCUGUGUUCGAUCGGUGUCCGACUCGCAAUUUCGACCUGAACUCAGACGUGACAACCCGCUGAACUUAAGCAUAUCAGUGAGCGGAGGAAAAGAAACUAACAAGGAUUCCCCUAGUAACGGCGAGUGAACCGGGAUCAGUCCAGCGCUAAAUCUCGUUGUUUCGGCAACGCGACGUGUAGCGUAUAGGCGGUGUGCUUGGCCAUGGCUCUGGGCACAAGUUUCCCAUGACCGGGGCGCCAGAGAAGGUGAUAGACCUGUAGCGUCCGGAGCCUAGGCUGACUACUCCGUCUUGGAGUCGGGUUGUUUGGGAUCGCAGCCCAAAGCAGGUGGUAUACUUCAUCUAAGACUAAAUAUGCCUACGAGACCGAUAGCGAAAAAGUACCGUGAGGGAAAGUUGCAAAGCACUUUGAAGAGAGAGUUAAAGAGGACGUGAACCGGUAGGAUGGAAACGGAUAGAGCCAGCGAAGUCGCUCGUAUUCAGCCAAAGGCCGGGGGCAUCGGUGUGUCGGGUUGCUAAUCACGCCUGGCGCGCCUUUUGCCUCUGGUUGAGGUGCAUUUGCGGGCGUUUGCGCUGAGACUUGCGGGCCAGCUUCGGGACCCGGGCCUAGAGGCCGUCCUUUGGGCGGAACUUGGGCACGGCGACGGUUGUUUGGUCUGCUCGUACCACGGCUUGGCCUACGGACAGGGGCGCUGUCGUUGCCGCCGGGCGUUGGCAUCGCUUGCGAUGACUCGUUCGGUGGUUGCGGUGGUGUUUCUCGUUCACAAGUCGGCUCUCGGUGUAAAAGCUGGUCACCUAUCCGACCCGUCUUGAAACACGGACCAAGGAGUUUAGCGUAUACGCGAGCCAUUGGGUGUCAAAACCUACAGGCACAAUGAAAGUGAAGGCCCAGUCGCUGGGCUGACAUGCGAGUUGGUGGGCCUCGGCCUGCCGAUGCAGCAUGGUCCCGUUCCGAUCGCUUGCGAUGGAGCGGAGACAGAGCGUAUGCGCUGAGACCCGAAAGAUGGUGAACUAUUCCUGAGCAGGAUGAAGCCAGAGGAAACUCUGGUGGAAGUCCGAAGCGGUUCUGACGUGCAAAUCGAUCGUCUGACUUGGGUAUAGGGGCGAAAGACUAAUCGAACCAUCUAGUAGCUGGUUCCCUU
rnacentral:misc_RNA from 1 species